ACAGAACAGUUGUUAAGCAAGUCUGUAUGUUUGUUAUUUGUUGUAACAUUUUAUCAUAUACAGCUCCUUGGCUGAAUGUACCGUAUUGUUUAUGUAAUGUUUUUGAUUAUGUUGUAAUGGAAGAACUGUGCAUUUACUGGGACAGGUCCCUUGUGGAAAACCAUUUCACCUCAGUGUUUCCCACACAUAGGCUUUACUGGGGCGGAGCUGCCGGAGCUGCCCAGGCAAACUUGGAGACCCAUUUUAAUUGCAGUGCUGCACAGCACAUAUUCACAUCCCUCACUCGGUCGCUCCCUCUCUCUCUCCUGCAUGUACACAACCCAUCUGUGAAUUGAAUGAUGCUGUGUGAUAAAGCAGUUUCCAAAUCCUAUAGUGUCUGCAGUCACAGAAAAUGCAACAAGUCCUACUCAAAGAUACCGACCCUCCACUCCAAGGAUAAGGAUUGUGACAUUUUUCAGUUUCAGUUUGGUUCCACCAUUUGUACUGUAAGCUUGUGACGGAGUACCUUCACUACAGUUGAGUAAGCGCUCGGACUGCCAUACCAACGAGCCUGGCUCUUUGGCCUUGCUGUCAAAGUUGCAUGUUUGGUUCCCUGUAGACCUGUGUUUGAAUCUGGGUAGGGUGACUGCUCUCACCUUUGGCCGCAUAUGGUGUUAGAAGUGGGAUGGCUUGCCGUGAGGUCAUCUGAGCCGUGCCCAGAGUCCGAACCGUAUGAGGGACCACCAUGGGUAACAUUAAUGAUGGGAUGUGUAUAGUGUACUUUUCAGUAAUACUGAUCGUAUGUCAUCAUUUUACUGAUUUUAUUUUUAUUUGAAGGUAUUUUGGUCAAGAUGUGAUACAUGCUGUUGUACCUUUUAAUGCACAGGAAUUUUUGUAAUGUACACAAAAUUAAAGUUUUUUAGUUGUC